rnacentral:rRNA from 1 species
UACGAAGGGGGGCUAGCGUUGCUCGGAAUCACUGGGCGUAAAGGGUGCGUAGGCGGGUCUUUAAGUCAGGGGUGAAAUCCUGGAGCUCAACUCCAGAACUGCCUUUGAUACUGAAGAUCUUGAGUUCGGGAGAGGUGAGUGGAACUGCGAGUGUAGAGGUGAAAUUCGUAGAUAUUCGCAAGAACACCAGUGGCGAAGGCGGCUCACUGGCUCAUUACUGACGCUCAGGCGCGAUAGCGUGGGGAUCAAACAGG